CGAUGAUCCAACCGUGAAGGAAAUGGAAAGGGCCUUCAAAGAGAUCCUUUUGGAGCCACUCUCUGAUGUCAGGAGGACAGGGCCAGAGGAUUCUCCAUCUACUCUGGAAAGGACAGAGCACCUUGAGAGAAACACAACCGGUCUAACAAAGGACACUGCAUCACAGGUCGCAUAUUUGUGGAAACAACAGGAAACGGAAGUUGUUGUUUCUGUGGUCCCAUCUCAGAUUAGAGGUACAACAACUUUGUCAUACGUCACAGUGAGUUCCUGACCCUUAGACCACACAGCUGGCUUGUUGGAGAGGUAUGUAUCCAGGUAUUAAC
ensembl:lncRNA